GAUGAACGCUGGCGGCGUGCUUAACACAUGCAAGUCGAACGGAAAGGCCCUGCCUUUGUGUGCUGCUCGAGUGGCGAACGGGUGAGUAACACGUGAGUAAUCUGCCCCUGACUCUGGGAUAACCUCAGGAAACUGCGGCUAAUACCGGAUAGGAGCUCCUGCUGCAUGGUGGGGGUCGGAAAGUUACGGCGGUCGGGGAUGGACUCGCGGCUUAUCAGCUUGUUGGUGGGGUAGUGGCUCACCAAGGCUUCGACGGGUAGCCGGCCUGAGAGGGUGACCGGCCACAUUGGACCUAGGAAACGGCCCAGACUCCAACGGAGGGCAGCGGGGGGAAUAAUGGAACAAGGGGCGGAGGCCUAAGGAGGAAACGCGGGGUGCGGGAGGAGGGCCUUGGGGUUGUAACCCGCUUUCGCCUGGAACGAGGCAUAGGUGAGGGUAAUGGAGAAAGAGGCACGGGCUACCAACGU
rnacentral:rRNA from 1 species